rnacentral:lncRNA from 1 species
GACCUGGUGCCCACUUUGGACUCUGUGUGUGUCUCUCCCUCUCUGUCCCUCCCCCACUUGCACUCUUUCUCUCUCACUCAAACAUUAAAAAAAAAAAAAAAAAAAAAAAAAAAAAAAAAAAAAAAAAAAAAAAAAAAAAAAAAAAAAAAAAAAAAAAAAAAAAAAAAAAAAAAAAAAAAAAAAAAAAAAAAAAAAAAAAAAAAAAAAAAAAAAAAAAAAAAAAAAAAAAAAAAAAAAAAAAAAAAAAAAAAAAAAAAAAAAAAAAAAAAAAAAAAAAAAAAAAAAAAAAAAAAAAAAAAAAAAAAAAAAAAAAAAAAAAAAAAAAAAAAAAAAAAAAAAAAAAAAAAAAAAAAAAAAAAAAAAAAAAAAAAAAAAAAAAAAAAAAAAAAAAAAAAAAAAAAAAAAAAAAAAAAAAAAAAAAAAAAAAAAAAAAAAAAAAAAAAAAAAAAAAAAAAAAAAAAAAAAAAAAAAAAAAAAAAAAAAAAAAAAAAAAAAAAAAAAAAAAAAAAAAAAAAAAAAAAAAAAAAAAAAAAAAAAAAAAAAAAAAAAAAAAAAAAAAAAAAAAAAAAAAAAAAAAAAAAAAAAAAAAAAAAAAAAAAAAAAAAAAAAAAAAAAAAAAAAAAAAAAAAAAAAAAAAAAAAAAAAAAAAAAAAAAAAAAAAAAAAAAAAAAAAAAAAAAAAAAAAAAAAAAAAAAAAAAAAAAAAAAAAAAAAAAAAAAAAAAAAAAAAAAAAAAAAAAAAAAAAAAAAAAAAAAAAAAAAAAAAAAAAAAAAAAAAAAAAAAAAAAAAAAAAAAAAAAAAAAAAAAAAAAAAAAAAAAAAAAAAAAAAAAAAAAAAAAAAAAAAAAAAAAAAAAAAAAAAAAAAAAAAAAAAAAAAAAAAAAAAAAAAAAAAAAAAAAAAAAAAAAAAAAAAAAAAAAAAAAAAAAAAAAAAAAAAAAAAAAAAAAAAAAAAAAAAAAAAAAAAAAAAAAAAAAAAAAAAAAAAAAAAAAAAAAAAAAAAAAAAAAAAAAAAAAAAAAAAAAAAAAAAAAAAAAAAAAAAAAAAAAAAAAAAAAAAAAAAAAAAAAAAAAAAAAAAAAAAAAAAAAAAAAAAAAAAAAAAAAAAAAAAAAAAAAAAAAAAAAAAAAAAAAAAAAAAAAAAAAAAAAAAAAAAAAAAAAAAAAAAAAAAAAAAAAAAAAAUAAAAAUAUGGCACAGCAAACCCAAGACCAGUGAGACAAUUGCAAAAUGUGAAACACACACAUGUUAG